AAUGGGAAGUUGCAGGAGAUAAUUACAGAACAAAUAAUGAGCCUUGUCAGCAUUAGCCACCCCGAAGUGAGAAGCACAAAAUGGUGUGCUUGGAGAAGCUGCUGACUGUUGAUAGGCAGGUACGACAGAGCUGACACCAUACUUGAGAGGAUUUUGCUGGUGUUAUCAGCAGCAUGACCAGAAUCAAAGGCGAUGCCAAUAGGCGAUGUCUAAACCCAGGCUGACUCUGUAGUCCAGGACCAAGGAAAAGCAGUGCUUGCAGCACUCUGGCCCUAUGACAAAAUGAAAAUAUUGAGAAGGCUUUGCCUAACUUGCCUACACAAGUGUUUGACAUGGCUUCUGUGCUCGGGUUAGUUGCCUUGGAAACCAGUGGCUGUGCACAUGGGCACGGAGCGGGGCCGCGGUUUGUGGACGUGGCCCUUGGGGGCCCCAUUACUGAAUUUCUUAUGUUUAGAAAUACUUUGUAAUAAGGCCCCUGGUGUCACUUAUUAGCAGUAAAGUGUAGGGCAGCCUUCAUCAGCAUCAACUGCCAAUUUGUUUCUUAUGGAAAUGAACCCACGUUGAUGGCGUGUAAGACUUUUUGGAGGUUUUCUGCUGGAACAGAACCCUCGCUUGCUCUUUUUAUGCUGCCACUUGACACACACUUCUCUCAUUUGCGUGCUUUUCUACUCAUUAUAUUGAUUUCAGCCUUCUUGGUGAAACGAAGUAACAACUUGCAAGGGGAAGAUGUGCAGAGAGAGGGGAAAUAAACUCAUAGAGAAGCAUUUUGUCUGCACCAUGUUCUGCCUUAAAUUACAGUACUGGCG